rnacentral:rRNA from 1 species
UGGGGAAUAUUGGACAAUGGGCGAAAGCCUGAUCCAGCCAUGCCGCGUGUGUGAAGAAGGUCUUCGGAUUGUAAAGCACUUUAAGUUGGGAGGAAGGGCAUUAACCUAAUACGUUAGUGUUUUGACGUUACCGACAGACUAAGCACCGGCUAACUCUGUGCCAGCAGCCGCGGUAAUACAGAGGGUGCAAGCGUUAAUCGGAAUUACUGGGCGUAAAGCGCGCGUAGGUGGUUUGUUAAGUUGGAUGUGAAAUCCCCGGGCUCAACCUGGGAACUGCAUUCAAAACUGACUGACUAGAGUAUGGUAGAGGGUGGUGGAAUUUCCUGUGUAGCGGUGAAAUGCGUAGAUAUAAGAAGGAACACCAGUGGCGAAGGCGACCACCUGGACUAAUACUGACACUGAGGUGCGAAAGCGUGGGGAGCAAACA